AAAAGAAAAGAAUUUUCACUUAAAAAUUUAUUAUAGAUUUAUUUUACAUGUAAAUUUUUUAGUUAGUUUAAAAAAAAUAUUUUAAAAAUAAAAUUAAAAAUUAUUCACAGUAUUUAAUUUUAAUUAUUUAAGAAAUUAAGAAUUAGUAAUAUAAAAAUUAUUAACUAAUUUUGUGCCAGCAGUUGCGGUUAUACAAUAAAUAAAUUAAAUAUUAUUAGUAAUUAAUUAAUAAAUAAUUUAAAUUAAUAUAAAUAUAUAAUUAUUAAGUAAAAUUUUAAUUAUUUAAAAUUUAAUAAAUAUAUUAAUUAUAAGUUAAUAAAUUUUAUUAUAAACUAGGAUUAGAUACCCUAUUAUUAAAAAAUUAAAUUUGAUAAACUAAAAUAGUAAAUUUAUUUUUAAACUUAAAAAAAUUGGCGGUAUUUUAGUUUAUUUAGAGGAAUCUGUUUAUUAAUUGAUAUUCCACGAAUAAAUUUACUUAAUUUAAAGUUUAUAUAUCGUCGUUAAAAAAAUAUUUUAUAAAAAAAAAAAUAUUUUAGAAUUAAAAAAAAAAUUAAAUCAGAUCAAGAUGUAAUUUAUAUUUAAGAAUAUAAUGGAUUACAAUAAAAUUAUUUAUAUGGCUUAUAAUUUGUAAUAAUUAUAUAAAAGUGGAUUUAAAUGUAAUUAAGUUUAAUUUAAUUUAAUGAUUUAAAAUUAAAAUAUGUACAUAUUGCCCGUCGCUCUCAUUUAAAAAUUGAGAUAAGUCGUAACAAAGUAGAGGUACUGGAAAGUGUUUCUAGAAAGAU
rnacentral:ncRNA from 1 species